UAACGCGUGAGCAAUCUGCCUUUAAGAGGGGGAUAACAGUCGGAAACGGCUGCUAAUACCGCAUAAAGCAUCAAAUUCGCAUGUUUUUGAUGCCAAAGGAGCAAUCCGCUUUUAGAUGAGCUCGCGUCUGAUUAGCUAGUUGGCGGGGUAACGGCCCACCAAGGCGACAAUCAGUAGCCGGACUGAGAGGUUGAACGGCCACAUUGGGACUGAGACACGGCCCAG
rnacentral:rRNA from 1 species